CUCCUGCGCUACCCCACGCGAAAGCGCCCCGUGCGAGGAUCGCGGCCAGCCAGUCCGCACCAGGCCUCGGGCAGUGCGGGCAGCACGAACGGCGCGAUCGGGGAGCAGGCGCGGCUGCGCUCCGCGUCAGUGAUGUCGCCGGGAGAAUCUCCGCGCCGCUACCUCCUCUUCCGUCGCCUUCCUCCCACGCCUUCACCUCCCUCCCCCGCCGCGCUCUGCGGCGAAAAGGAGCGGGCUCCUAGGCCGUCUCCCCUCUCUCCACCCGGGGGCCGCGCGUCAGUGGACUUGCAGCCCAGGCCACGGGACUGCGGACGGCGCGCGUGCCCGGCCUCGCCUCACGCCGGUAGCUGAUGCUCCCUCGGCAGCUGCCACCCCAGCGCCCCAGCCGCGGCUUCAGAGGCUCUCGCCCGCUGGCUUUUUUUUUCCCCCCCUUUGGUGAACUCGCAGUACUUGGGCUGAGCCCGAAAUCUCGCGAGAUGCUGCAGGCGUCAGUGCCGCUUCCCACUAGGCGCGUGGUACCCGAGGCCGGGCUGGAGCCACAGGCCAGGCGAGAUUCCUGCGGGCGAUGCUGGGGGCUUUCCGGUCGGGGCCGCAGCCGCUUCCGGAGCCGCGGGCGAGGUGCGUUCCCCAACCUAGUGUGCUCUGGGCUCUGACCCGCCGCCGCGAAUCUCCGCUGGUGGAGGGAGGAUUUCCUCUGUGCAGCUUUCGAGCGGUAGACUCACCCUGCCAUGCAGACCUAGAUUGGCAUAGCCAGAGAUUAAUUCCAGUUGUGAUGCAGUGGGUGUCUACACACUUCUGAUGACACCUUUAUUUUAAAAGCUGAUGUUCCAAGAUUUUUAGGGCAGUUUUUAGUGUCAUUGUGUUGCUGCUACAUAUUUGGAAGAUGGAACAAGCCCAGACAAAGGAUGAUUCUUUUUUACUCAUAUUAAAUCCAUUUUUUUUCCUUCAUCUGAGCCCCUUGAAACUGUUGUGUUACUGGUAAGUUGGUGUGUGCCUGUAGUCCCAGCUACUAGGGAGGCUGAGCCAGGAGUAUCGCUUUAGCCCCAGAGUUCAAGACCAGCCUGGACAACAUAGCAAGACUCCCGUCUUAAAAAAAAAACUGUACAAAUAUGUUAUAGGAACAUUUUGUCUUCGUUCACUACAUUGUACUAUACUUUAAAAAAAAGAGAUUUAGAAUACAAAUACUGACACUUAACAUACAUGUACUCAUAUCUUAAUAAUUAGUUUAAUUGCUUCCCCUUUAUGGAGUCAAAUAAUAUAAUGCAUUUCCUAACUAAUUGUAUACUUAUAUUUUCCUCAAUAUUAAUGAAAAAUCUCUAAUAUUUUUAUCCUCUUAUAUUUCUUAAUGAUUAAUCCAUUUUCAGUUUUAAAAAGCCAUAAAAAUAAGAUAUGUUUUUAUAAUUAUUCAAGAUGCCUGAAAUUUUGUAAAAAUCAUAAAUAUGGAAAAGAUCUUAAAGGGUUAUGUAAUAAGCCCCUACUUUGCACAAUAUUCUACCUUUGACACUUUUAAGAAAAUAAUUUCUAGUAACAUAUCCUAGUGGUUACAAGUCCUUAUGCCAUAGCACUGGACAUUAAUAAUCACUUAAAUACUUAUUGAGGAAUAAGAUGUUCUUCCUAAUGACUAAAUUAAAUUAUUCUCAUUAUAAUUCAAUUCUUUGGCUUCUUGUCCCAUUCUUCAGAGGUUAUGGUAACCCGUAAAAGUGUAAGGUUAUUUUCAGUUUUAUUUUCUAAAUGAUUUCCUCUUGCAUGUCAUUAUAGGACCAAAUUUCUAAGUAUGUAAUUAUUUUUAUUACUUUCCUCUGGGCCCUUUCCAAGUGAUUUAAUCUUCCUUUAAAUGUGGGCCAAAACUAUUCGGUUCAAUAAUGCAGUUUUUAAAAACAUGAGGAUGAAGGUAAAGGCAGGUUAUUACAGUUCAUGUAAUUGUUUUCAUUUAAAACUGAAGUACUAGCUGACUUUGAAUAUGGCCCUGAGUAUCAGCUCUUCUGAUUAGUCAAGAAAUGUUUCUUGUUUUUUAAGAGAUUUGAACUAAAAUUCCACCUCAAUUGUAACCAAUUUCUUUUUUUAUUUUUUAUUUUUUUGAGACUGAGUUUCUCUCUGUUGUCCAGGCUGGAGUGCAGUGGCAUGAUCUCGGCUCACUGCAACCUCCGCCUCCCGGGUUCAAGUGAUUCUCCUGCCUCAACCUCCCAAGUAGCUGGGAUUACAGGUGCUCACAAACAGGCCUGGUUAAUUUUUGUAUUUUUAGUAGAGAUGGAGUUUUACCAUGUUGGCCAGGCUGGUCUCGAACUCCUGACUUCAAGUGAUCUGCCUGCCUUGACCUCCCAAAGUGCUGGGAUUACAGGCUGAGACACCCACCGUGCCUGGUUGAACUGUAACCAAUUUCUAAAGACAUAAAAUUCUUAAUAUAUAUUAUAUAAUAUAUAGAGAUAUUAAAUUAUAGAUAUAUAUUCCAUAUUAUAUAAUUCUUGAUCUACCAUAAUAUAUAAUUCUUGAUAUAUAAUAGGAUAUAUAUCAAGAAUUUAAUAUCUAUAAGAAGUCAAGUAGAUAUUUAUUAUUUAUAAUAUCUUUCUAAUUAUAAAGUAAUACAUAAUUAAUAUAGAAGUCACAGGAAAAAAGCAAAAGGAAGUAACUUAUAAUGCCAUCACCCUGAAAUAACAUUUUCCUGUUUAUGGUAUUACAAAAUGAUUUAUGGUAUGUUUUGUAGUUUUUAAAACCAGUAAUGUGAACAUUUCUCCAUAUAUGAAAAUGGAUAUCUUGCAAUUGCAUGAUUUCUAAUGGCUUCAUAAUAUUGCAUCAUGUAGAUUUAUCAUAAUUUACUGAAUCGAUCACCUAUUUUUGAACCCUGUUUAUUUCAUUUAUAAGUAAGAGCAAGCAGUGCUACAUUGGACAUCUUUGUGCAUAUAUAUUUCUUAAUUGAGUAUUUCCUUAGGAUAAAUUCUUAGAAGUGAAAUAGCAGGGUAUGUAUAUUUUUAAAACUUUUGGAAUACAUAUCAGAAUUGAUUUUCAGAAAGGUUAUUAUCAGUUUAUCCUUCUGCCAACAUUGUUUGAAUUCCUGCCUUCCACCACCCUUAUAAAGUCUGAGUAAAAUCUUUCUUCUUAAUCUUUGUCAAUCUGAUUAGCAAAAAAAAAAAAAAAAGUUUAAUUUGCAGAUCAUUGACUUCUAGUGAGGUUAUAGUUUUUAAAGUUUCUUAAUCAUUUAUAUAUUUUUAUUUCUGAAUUGCCCAUUGAUAUCUAUAGAAGACCAUUACUGUAUCCUAGAAGUGUGGUUUCCAUUCUGUCUUGUUGUGGUAAUAGCAUACAAAUUUUUCUUGUUAUUUUUGUUUGGGUUUUGUUUUGUUUCUUUGGUGAGGUGGGGGUAAUUCUUUUACUGGAAUUACCUCUCUGUGUGUAGUUUUGGAAGGACAUAAUAGAGGAGCUUGCCUGCCCCAGCCAAAUUGUGAACAUAUGACCAAAUGUGCCAAUCUGGUUGUCGUAUGUGUUUUGAAUUUUGUGUGGUGUGAUGCAAAGUCAGAAAAGUAAGUCCAGUUGUGGGACUCUUAGUUGCUUAUAUCUCACUUCCUCCCUCCCUGGGCAACUGCCUUGCCUAAGGGCAACCCAAGCCCACUGACUAGCUGAUGGUCAAUAUAAAGGGCAUUGACUGUAUUUGGGACAAUUCUAAAGAGCCACUACCUCAAAGAACACCCUGUAGGAUGGACUGAGGCUUCAGCUGCAUCCUCACUGUGAGUCUGCUUCUUCCUCUGCCCAAUCCUGCCUUCCUCAUUUCCUUAUAGUUGUGUCUCCUGAGAGCACUCUCCACCAAACUUUCUCUAUGCCAUCUGUAUGCCACCUCAGUCUGUUUCUAAGGAACUGUCCAUUGCAGUGGCGGUACUCAGGGAAGACAGUAUGGUUGUUCCUGCCACCAGCACCCUCUGGAACUACUUCCGUUGUCCUUUCUGCAUCUGUUUCUUCUUUCUUUUAACUUUCCCAUACUCUUACAGUAAUUCACUUCAUCUAAGUUAACCAGAGUCUUGGUUUCUGUGGCUUGCAACCAAAAAUCUGUAUUAAUACAAUGUUCUUUGUCAUUUUAUCCAUUUUAAGAGCUUUUUCAUGUAUUAUGGACAAAAACUAAAUUGGUUUUCUCCAGUUAGUUGCAUUGCAGUUUUGUUUAUCAUAGUGUUGACAUUUCAACUAUUUAGAAAAUUUAUUACUGUAAGUAUCUUGGUCUUUGUGUGUGUGUGAUUUUUACUUUGAUGUAAUGCAGGCGUCCCCAACCCUUGGGCCACAGAAUGGUACCAUUAGGAACCAGGCUGCACAGCAGGAGAUGAGCAGUGGGCAAGCAAGGGAAGCUUCAUCUGUAUUUACAGCCACUCCCCAUCACUCACGUUACUGCCUGAGCUCCAUCUCCUGUCAGAUCAGCAGUGGCAUUAGAUUCUUAUAGGAACAUGAACGCUGUUGUGAAUUGUGCAUGUGAAGCAUCUAGGUUGCAUGCUCCUUAUGAGAAUCUAAUGCCUGAUGAUCUGUCACUGUCUCCCAACACCCCCAGCUGGGACCAUCUAGUUGCAGAAAAACAAGUUCAGGGCUCCCUCUGAUUCUAUGUUGUGGCGAGUUGUAUAAUUAUUUCAGUAUAUAUUACAAUGUAGUAAUAAUAGAAAUAAAGUGCACAAUAAAUGUAAUGUCCUUGAAUCAUCCCAAAGUCAUCUACCCUCACCACCUCAGUCCAUGGAAGAAAAUGGUCCCUGGUGCCAAAAAGGUUGGGGACCACUGAUGUAAUGCCUGGAGAGACCUUUAAUGUCACAUGAGCAUAUACAUAAAAAUUCAUGUGUACAUAUUUUUCAGAUUUUGUUUUUAUCCCCUAAUUCUUAUGACAAAGAUUUUUGCCUUGACUAAUGACAAUGAUUCAACUAUUUCCUAAAAUAACUGAGUAGACUUUUAUGUUAAAAUUUUCUAUAACAAUAUCUUCAAAUUUCAGUGCUGAAAUAACAGACAUUUCUGUUUUACUCAGACAGCAAUCUAGAAAUGACCUGUCUGAAGCUGGCCAGGCAGCUCUGUCGUUCUUAUCAAGAGGCUUCUUCAUCUGAAUUAAAGAUGGGAACCUUUAUUUGUUGCUAUUAUCUAGUCAGUGAGAAGGAAAACCUAGAGAAUACAAAACAACUUUCUACCAUACACACACACACCAAAUCUUAUUGGUCCAAAUUUAGGCAGUCGGCUGUACAUAGCAGAUUGGGAAAUAGUCUUUUACUGGAAUCCCCCAUGAUGACAAGUUCUGCCCAUUGGUAGAAACCUGUGUUUUCCUGUGUUAUAAAGGGUUAUAAAACAUUUUUAAUACUAGUAUUAAAAUGGUAUUAUGUUGAACAUGUAACUGAAAAUGUUCCUACAAAUAUUAAGUGAAAAUUAACACAUGGCUAAGAUUUAAAAGAAACGUUCCCCUUACAAAAUGGUUUGUGUGUGCAUGUGUACCUGUGUGUGUGCAUGUGUACUAUAACAAUUCAAAACUUCUCUUCACUCUCCUUCACCACUGCUACCAUAUGUUUAAAUGUGGAACAUGAGUUAAGAAGAUUUUGGUUUUGGCCAGGCAUGGUGUAUCAGUUCAUUUUCACACUGCUGAUAAAGAUAUACCUGAGACUGGGUAAUUUAUAAAUAAAAAGAGGUUGAAUGGACUCACAGUUCCACGUGGCUGGGGAGGCCUCACAAUCAUGGUGGAAGGCAAAAGGUAUAUCUUACAUGGUGGCAAACAAGAAAAUAAGAGCCAAGUGAAAGGCGUUGCCCCUUAUAAACCCAUCAGAUCUCGUAAGGCUUAUUCACUAACAGGAGAACAGUAGAGGGGAAACUGCCCCCAUGAUUCAAUUAUCUUCCACCGUGUCCCUCCCACAACAUGGGGGAGUUAUGGGAGCUACAAUUCAAGAUGAGAUUUGCCAAACCCUAUCACUUGGUGUCUCACACCUGUAAUCAUAGCACUUUGGGAGGCUGAGGCAGCAGGAUCUCUUGAGCUCAGGCGUUCGAGACCAGCCUGCUCAACAGGGUGAAACCCCAUCUCUGCAAAAAAUACAAAAAGUAGCUGUGCAUGGUGGCACACGCCUGUUGUCUCAGCUAUUUGGGAGGCUGACGUGAGAGAAUUCAUUGAGCCCAGGAGGCAGAGAUUUUGAAACUUUAGUGAGCCAAGAUCACGCCACUGCCCUCCAGCCUGGGUGACAGAGUGAGACCCCAUCUCAGAAAAAAAAAAGGCUGGGUGUGGUGGCUCAUGCCUAUAAUUCCAGCACUUUCGGAGGCCGAGGCAGGCAGAUCACGAGGUCAAGAGAUCAAGACCAUCCUGGCAAAGAUGGUGAAACCCCGUCUUUACUAAAAAUACAAAAAUUAGCGAGGUGUGGUGGCACACGCCUGUAAUCCCAGCUACUCGGGAGGCUGAGGCAGGAGAAUCGCUUGAACCCAGGACGCGGAGGUUGCAGUGAGCCGAGAUCAUGCCACUGCACUCCAGCCUGGCAACAGAGUGAGACUCCAUCUCAAAGAAAAAAAAAAGAAAAAGAAAAAAAGAUUAUUUUGUUAAGUCGUGGUUUUUAGCCUCUUGACAUGCUUCUUAUACUUUUUUUUUCCAUCUCUUAGAGGUUUCUUUCUGUGAGGAUAGGUGAAUAUGAAUAAUGAUGAUAGGAAGGAUAUAUUAGUCUGAUUGUUUAAGAACAUUUGCAAUUUAUGAAGUAUAUCAGGAAGUGUAAUGUUCUUGAAAACGAAUGGCUAAAUCUAAUUUAGGAAUGAAUAUUAAAGGUUUAAUAAUGAAGAAGUAAUUAGAAGUUCCGUCUUUUAAUCUAAAUAUAGAAUCUCUUCUCUGUACUGGUACUAAUUUUUAUUAUGAUGGUUUGGACACAGUCCCAUAUUCAGCCUCUUUAUACUUUAUUUUUGAAUUAUAAAUGCCCAAACCUUAAAAUUUAUUCUGCAAGCGUAAGGAUGAUUCUUUGUAUAGAUAUACCAUUGUAUAGAUAAAACAUAAUUAAUAUAGCCAUUCUAAUGUUAAUUACUAUUUUAGUAGUUUCGAGGUUAGCUUUUGUUUUUUCCUAUUAUAAACACUCUGCUGUGAACAUUUCUAUACACAUACCAUGGUGAAUAUAUGAGUAGAUUUCUCUCUAGAGUGUAUAUUUAGUUCGGUAUUGCUGGUUCAUGGAGUGUGUAUAGCUUCACCUUCAACAGAUAAAGACACACUGUUUUCCCAAGUGGUUGAACCAAGAAUGGUAUUAUUUUAAGAUUCUUUACCAUAACUUCAAGUAUUUACUUAAAGUUUCUGGAGAAAAGGAAAAAAAUGAGUUAUACUAUGGUAUUGGAUUUUAUUAUUAAAUGAAUUUGAAAAUAACAUCUAAAAAGAAUGGAAACCCAUUUUUUUGCAGUCAUUGUUUUGAAAAGGUAUCUCAAUGUGGAUGAUAUAAAUUCUAUACCAUACAUAUUGAAUGAUUGGACCUAUGAACAAUUAUCCGUGUGGUUUCUUUUCUCUAAAAUAUUAUUUAACAGUACUACAAUAACUGUUAUUUAAAAUAUGUUAUAUAUGUACAAAUUUUUUACAUAUAUGUGGCAAAAUAAAAGUUUAAAUCAGGCAUAAAGAUAUAAAAUGAAAAAUGAAGUCUACUAAUUCCUCUCCCUAAAGAUCUGUUUUAGCUGCCUCAUUGUUUCUUUUGUUUCCUGAAAAAACAUUAUACAUAUUUCUUCAUAUAAAUAAAUGGAUCAUAAUGCACAUGUUUUUUAAUUCACUUUUGAACACCAUGUAUGAUUCUUUCUGCUGAAUGCUAAAUAAUAUUGAAUUGAUUGGGUAUAUAAUAAUUUAUUCAGGCAGACUGAUGGAGAUUUAGAUUAUUUUCCUUUUUUUGUUAUUACCAGUAAUGGAUCAGUGAGUACACUGGAAAGUGAACCUUGCUAUUUUUGAGAGUUUAUUCAUUUAAAUUCCUAGCUAUAAAAUUACAGUUGAGGCAGUACAAGCAUUUUUAAUUUUGAUGCAUAUGGCAAAAUUGCCCUCUAAAAAGUUGUUUUAAUUUACAUUUCUAUCAACUGCUACAUGCCAACAUUGUGUUGUCAGAAUAUUUUAUCUUUACUAUUCUCAUAGUUGAAAAAUAUAACGUAUUUUAGUUUGCGUUUAUUUAAUUAUGAGUGAAGUUGAGCAUGAUUUCAUUUGUUUUUCUUUCUCUGUCAACUGCCGUUAAUAUCUUUUGCCUAUUUUUCUACUAAGUUGCAUUUUUUUUAGUGAUUUGUAAAACUUAUAAAUUAAAUAAAUUAAUGUUUUUGUCUAUUAUGUGUUGCAAAUAUUUUUCCCAUUUUGUGGUUAAUUUUUAUAUUUUGUUUAUAACUUUUUGUACAUAAAUUUUAAUCUUCUUCAUGACUUUCAGGUUAUAUAUAAUUUCCAAAUUGCUUAGAAGCCCACUUCCUGUGUUGCCAUUUGUCUUGUAAAUGUAUAAUGAUAGGUAAAUUUAGUUCACAUAUAACUCAGCCUGUUUUCUUUCUUUUUUUCAAAGAAUUCUGUGAGAACACACCUAGGAAAAAAAAAAUCACUGUAGACAGAUGAAUAUGAUAAAUCUAAUGAGUUUGGGUUGUCAAAAAAAUGUGUUUAACAAUGUGCUUAACAUUUAAAUGAUUCCUAUUUCCUUUUUCCUUCAGGCGUCCUAAAAGUCAAUAGGUGGGAAAGUUUUAUUAGUAAAGAACAUUAUCUUACCAGACAUAAAGUAAUCCUUUUCUCCAACCUUCCUUCAAACUGCUGGUCCUCACCUCACCUAAAACACCCUAUCAGAGACUAGCAGAUGUUCCAGCAUCUCUAUAAAAUUUAUUUGGUUAAAUGUCGGCAUGUGAUAAAUGAAAUGAAAUUGAUUUAUGUGGACUUUUUCUAUAUUCUAUAUUUGUCUUAGAAAGCAUAUAAUAGAUAUCUUAAUAGAACAGUUAAAAUAUGAUUUUAUCAAAACACUUAAGGAUAUCUAAAUGAGUUAGUAUACGAAUAUAUAAAAAUAGUCCACACGAACCUAGUCCAUACUUAGUCCUCAGCUAAAAUGACUUCUAGUUAAACCAAACUAUAGUAAAGAGACUGAACAAAUCUAAAUAGCAACACUAAGUAGUGAAGAGCAACUAACCAUGCAAGACUUUUUUAGUUUAUAUUCUUCCUUCCUAUAUGUUAUGAAGCUAUGUUAAAAUUGCUCAGUAAAAUUAUGUAGUAGAACAUCAGAUCUUAGCUGCAGCUUUUGUUCAGUAGGCUAGAAACUCAAAGCUACUAGACCAUACUUAGUUGGACACAAGAGAUUCCAUAUUGUCCUCAAAGUAAUCUUGCUUUCUCCAGAGCUCUCCAGCUCAGGCCUAUAUUAAAGCAACAUCAGAUCAGUUCUGGCUGGAUUUCAUACUUUGAGUUUCUAGGGUUAAAAAGCUUUCAUAUUAGAGAAUUCUGCUAACUGUCCCAUAUCUGACAUUUAAAGUUGAUCUAGAUUUUCUCAAAGAUUCCCAAUUUUACAGCUUACUGUUUCUAAUAGAAGCAGCUUGUUAAAUAUUUAACUAAAUGUUACAUAGUUUACAUCCUUGUAAACAUUUAUCUUAUAAAGAACUCUUUUAAAAAAAGUCAUAAUUUUUAGAAACACUGUUCCAUUUACAAUGCUGCGAGAAAACUGCUUAGCGAGCUCUACCUCUGGAUGUUAAAUAUCAACUAUAAUACUUGUUAAAUCAAUGCAUUUUAAAAUGUUCUUAAAGUGUUUAAAUUUCUUCUGUAAAAUGUGUAUUUCUUAUUAAAUUCAGGGAUUGAUUAUGUAUUUAUUUAUUAUUACUAUUAUUUGAGAUAGAGUCUCGCUCUGUUGUCCAGGCUGCAGUACAGUGGUGCUAUCUUUUCUCGCUGCAACCUCUGCCUCCCAGGUUCAAGCAAUUCUCCAUCCUCAGCCUCCUGAGUAGUUGGAACUACAGGCGUGUGCCACCACACCAGGCUAAUUUUUGUAUUUUUAAUAGAGAUGGGGUUUCACCGUGUUGGCCAAGCUGAUCUCGAACCACUGACCUCAGGUGAUCUACCUGCCUCAGCCUCCCGAAGUGUUGGGAUUACAGCCAACUGUACAGUGCACCUAGUCAAAUUCUGGGAUAAUUUUAAAACAUUUUGGACUGUAGUAAUAAAAUUUUAUAGAACGUGAUAUAGUUUAUGCAUCCACCAAAGAAAAUGUCAAGUUACCAAAUUAGUUAGAAGAUGACUAUAGAGUAAGUUAUCACUUACCUGGCCCAUACCAUGAAUCAAUCCUUCUGCAUAUCAGAAUUUUUUAAAUAGCUGAAUAAUAAUUUUUUAAACGUUAAGAUUUUAAACUGCGUUUAGAAAUCCCUAUGAGGUGAUGUAACUAUUAUUUCCUCCACUCUUUAAAAUAAUACUGAAAAUACUUUAGCACUUGGCUCAGAUGAACUUUUGAAAUGAUAUGACUAUCACAAAAUCCGAAGGCCACUAUAGAUACAAAUUUAGAUUAUUGGAUCACAGUGCUCCAUGAUUCUCUUGUGUUUCUCUAUAUGUUGUAAUCAGAGGCAUUGACUUUGUUCCAAACUAUCUUUUCUUAAAUAUUUGUAACUUGUAAUAGCAAACUGCCUUGGAAGAUUGAGAUAAUGUCUUCCUGCAGAGCAAAGAGCAGGUGUGCUUACUGUCCCUUAUAAAAGAUUUGGGUGCCCUAAGCUCAUUAUCCUCUCCUGUAACACAGCUGCUGUGCAUGCUGGUGUCACCUGGCUCCCUCCUUAUUACCUGGUAGAAAUUGGGGCAUAAGGAAUUGGUACUAAUGCUGAUGUUCUGAUGACUGCUAUUGCUGUAAAUAACAAAGUCCUUUGUUUCUUACGCUGGAUUAUCCUGUCUCCCACCAGCAUCCAUGAAAUUGUAGCAAGCUAAUUUAUUAGUCUGCAAGUAGGGUAAAACUCAGACAUUUACAGGUCUUGGCAAGAAGAUAUAGGACAGUCAUCAGCAAACUUUUUCUGUACAGGGCCAGAUCGAUAAUACAUGGUCUCUGUCACGUAUGUUUCUUUAAUUUUUUUUCAACCCUUUAAAAAUAUAAAGCCCUUUCUUAGCUUACAGGCCAUCUGAAACCAGUCUUUGGGUUAUAUUUUGUUCAUGGGAUAUAGGUUGCCAGCUUCUAAUGUAGAUCAUGGGAUCAAAUGACUAUUCUCCCCCAGAAAGUUCCCCAGAACUUCUCUCAAAAUUAUAAUGGCUUGCUUUUUAAACAUGCUUUUCUCAUGACUAUAAUAAAAUGAAACACGUAUUGUUGCACGUCUGCUUGAAAAUAAAAUAUGACUGCAAAAUUAAUUAGAUAAUAAAAAGAAACAGUAUCUUCCUAAGUGAUUUUUAUAUAACCUCAAGAUAAUACAGAGGGCAAAAUGCAAUUAAAAUUGCAUCCAAAAAGAAAACAAGAAAGGAAGACAAUAUAAACAGAAAGCACUUCAUAAAAUGGUAGAUUUAAAUACAAAUAUUUCAAUACGUUAAAUGUAAAAGAAGAAAAUACUUCUUUAAGUGACAAAGUCAAUGCUGUACUGUUUACAAGCAUGAUGUUUAAAUUGUGAGACUCCAGACAGAGAGGAAAUCUGGCCAAACUCAUCCUUUUAUCAGGAACCCACUCUAGUGAUAACUAACCCACUCCCAUCAUAAUGGCUUUGAUCUAUUCAUAAGGGUUCUGCCCUCUUGACCUAAUUGCCUCUUAAAGACCCCACUUCUUAAUACUAUUAUAAUUGUAACUACCUAAUGGGUUCAUUUUGCCCACUGUCCAGAUAGAGCCUAUUAUCAAGACAUGGGAAUUGUAAUAGAGAAUUUAAUACAUGUUAGAUCAAGCUAAACAGGAGACAGGAAUUUUAUUAUUACUUAAAUCAGCCUCCCUGAAAAUUCGGAGGCUAUUUGAGGAUAGUUUGACAGGCAGAGGUUUAGGGAUUAGGAAUUGCUGAUUGGUUGGGGAUGCAAUCAUAGGGGUGUGGAAAACAGCCCUCCUGCACUGUGUCUGCUUCUGUGUGGGGGCCAUAGGACUGGUUGAAUCCAGAAUUGCAGGUCCAGAUGGGGCUAUCUGGUAGUCAGAAGUGCAAAAGCCUGAAAAGACAUCUCAGAAAAUCAAUACAGGAGUAAUCGAAGAAGUUAACAAAUUUCGUGACUUCUGGAAUAAUGGCUGGUAAUCAUUUAUACCUGUAUUUUAGCAGGAUUCAGGCCCCUCUCAUCUUCCUAAUCUGGUGGCCUUUCAUUAGUUUUAUAAAGGUGGUUUAGUUUUGAAGACGUGUUAUUUUCAUUUAAACUAUAAGUUAAAUUUAUCCCAAAGUUAGCUUGGCCUACACCCAGGAAUGAUCAAGGGCAGUUUGAGGUUAAAGGCAAGAUGGCGUUGGUUAGAUCGGAUCUCUUUCACUGUCAUAAUUCUCUCGGUUAUAAUUUUUGCAAAGGCAGUUUCACAAUGGCAAUUAAAUUUCAACAUGAGUUUUGGCAGAGACAUUCAAACCAUAGCAGCAAACUAUAAGGUAAAAGCAUUUGUAAAAAUAAAAUGUAUGCUUCAUAAUGACAAAAAUACUAAGCCACCAUGAGGGUAUAAAAUAUAUGUGUAUCUAAUUAUAUAGCAUCAACAUGUACAAAACAUUACUCUGAACUGGGUCAUGUGCACACUACGAGGACUCGCUAUGGAUGAGAAGAGUCAGGGUCAGCCUCACCAGGACCUCAUAGCAUAGGAAAUAAUAAUUCUCCAAAGGGAUGGAUGCUGGUAAACAAACUGAACCGCAUCAUGAAGUCCUUUUCAUUUUAUCAUUUUCAUCUAUAGCAGUGCUUUUCAACUUAGGCUGCCUUAUAGAAUCAAUUAGUGAUCUUUUUAAAAAUACUGAUGCAGAGACCUUCCCUAGACCAAUUAAAUCAGAAUCUUGGAGGAAGGGAGGAGGGCAUUGAUUUUAUUGUUUAAGCUCUCCAGGUGAUUUUAAUGUGCUGUUUCAGUGUUGAGAAGCACUGAGUUACUAUGUAAAUCAUCGAGGUAAUAUUUAGGGCAGUAAAUAGCAAAAAUAUUUAUAGAUAUUAAUCUGUUUUUCCAUGUGAGUUUUGUAGUUACCCAACAUAAAAACUGUUGUUUUUUAAAUACAGAUCAUUACAACCUGUGGUUCCAAUUAAAGAUUUUAAAGAGAAGAGUUUAAUCCUGCAACAACUGGUUAGCCCUUCUUAAUUUAGGAGUACCUUUACAAGUUCUUGAUCACCAAGGUAAUCAAAGUUAAGUUAGCUACAUUACCACAUGAAAAACAAUCAGCUGGUUCACACAACUGCUUUAAACCCAUAGGAAAUUGAUUCAUUAGCAUUUCCUAGAUUAGAAAUUGGCCAACACCAUUAUCAACAAUAUAGGUGAUAUGUGGUGCUCUACAAGGAAUUUUUUGAAAGAUACCUACUUUCUCAUUAGUUAUAACUACAUUUUAAAUGCUAUCUCUUUCUCAAAAGCCAAAGCUACCCUUCUGGAAGUACAAAGGAUCAGACUUCAGGCAGGAGUGUCAUGUGAUGUCAUGUGUCAAGUUCUAUAACUUCAGAUAAUUCAACUUGCAAUGGCAACAGCCAUUUCUGAGUUCUAACACCAUUUUAGUAGACAGAUGCUAAUAUUGUACUAAUAGAUGCUAAUAUUGGGUUAAUCCAAUAUGUUAUGCUAACCCUUUGUAAGGAGUAAAAAUGGCCAUUCUCUUUUUUUUUUGAGACGGGGUCUCGCUCUGUUGCCCAGGCUGGAGUGCAGUGGCAUGAGCUCAGCUCACUGCAAGCUCCGCCUCCCGGGUUCAUGCCAUUCUUCUGUCUCAGCCUCCCAAGUAGCUGGGACUACAUGCACUCACCACCACCCCUGGCUAAUUUUUUGUAUUUUUUAGUAGAGAUGGGGUUUCACUGUGUUAGCCAGGGUGGUCUGGAUCUCCUGACCUCAUGAUCUGCCUGCCUUGGCCUCCCAAAGUACUGGGAUUACAGGCGUGAGCCACCGUGUCUAGUCUUUUUUUUUUAGACAGGGUCUUGCUCUGUCAGCCAGGCUGGAGUACCGUGAGGUGAACAUGGCUUACUGCAGCCUCAAGUGAUCCUGCUGCCUCAGUCUCCCAAGUACCUGGGACCACAGGCAUGCACCACUACACCCAGCUAAUUUUUAAAAAUUUUUUGUAGAGACAGGAUCUCACUUUGUUGCCCAGGCUGGUCUCAAGCUCAAGUGAUCCUCCUGUCUCAGCCUCCCAAAGAGCUGGGAUUACAGGCAUGAGCCACCAUGCCCAGCCCAUUCUCUCUUUUAAUGUAAGUAUAACUAUACAUUUGUAAGCAGCAGCAUGGCAUAGUGAAAAGUAACUUUUAGGAUCAGAUAUGCCUGGAAUUAAAUUCCAUUUGCUAUUUAUCAGCUGUGUGGUCUUGAGCAGAUUAGCCUGUCAGUGCCUCACUUCCCUCCACUGUAAAAUAAGAAUACAACCCAUCUUGCAGUGUUGUGAGGAUUAGGAAUGAUAGCUAUCAACUUUCUGCCAUUUUGCUUCAGAAUUUUACAAAAUUAUACAAGGAAAAAAAAUGAGUAACUAUAUUCUCCUUACAAACAAAUUUAGAAUUACAAAAUAUGAAAUUAUUUGCUGACCCUAUCCCUUCCCAUCUUGCCAGUAGUAACCACUAAUGUUAGUUUGGUACAUACUGAUAGACUAAAUAUACAAACGGACAAGGACCAGACCGUAUAUGUCAAUAGAACUCGGACACACAACCUCUGCAGCAACCAGCCUGGGAAGCCAAACCACAAGCUCUGAUACAAUUGGUUCUGAAGUGUCAGUGCUUGGUCAAUGACUGUCAGCUUUUAACUCAAGACCAACCAGACAAAGCCAAAUGUACUCCCCACACCAAUCACAUAAGAUGGCUCACUUGUAAUUACCCACCUCUAGCUUCCCAAACCAAAUUUCCAAUUGUAGCAUUUGUGAAUCUUCCCUCUUUUCACUAUAAAGCUUUUCAUUUCUGCCUUGGCUGCCUGUGAGUAUCUGCCAAACACAAGUGAUGGUGUUCGACUCCCUUGUUUUAGUAAGCAAUGAAUAAAUAGCCUCUGAUUGUUCUCAUUUUGGGUGGUCUCUGUUUAUUUGCAUGGUAUGGUUCCAGUCUUUUUAUUGUGGAAAUAUAGAUGGACGUUUAUAUGUGUAUAUCCUUGGGAAAUAUAUACCAUUUUGUGGAUUUUUAAAAGCAAAAAUGUUACAUGUAUUGUUUUAUAUCUUGUUUUUUUUUCUCAAAAACAUCCAGGAAGUCUAUGCAUGUUAAUUCAUCUCGAUUAUUUUGACUGGAGGGAGGUAGUAUUAUUUGUCUUGGUGUCUUUAACACAGCUCUGUGGUGCUGCCUACUUCAGUGCUUGCUUUCCUGUCUGUGUCUAUCACAGAGACGUUCUUUUUACCUUUACACCCCCAUCCUACUUCCCUUUCACCCGAAUCCCCAGCUUACUCCUUUAAUACGUAUCCUUUGAACUGCAGUCAAUUCACCAUGAGCUUAGCUGGCUGUCUUCUUCCUUCAUGGCUGCUAGUAAUGACUGUUCAGUGGCUGUUUCUUCAGCUGUGCAAAGUUGGAACAUGUCUGGGAGUUCAAUGGCAUUGGUUUCUGGUUGGUAUAUGUCUUGUUUAUUGCCUGUUCAAUUUCCUCAUUACUGACUGUGAGAAACUACAAGUCUUACUCAUACUGGAUUCUUUCACCUUGAGUCAGUUUUCAGUUGUAUGUAAGAAAUUUUUUCCAAUGAAUUAAACAUACCAACCUUAGAAACUGGCUUGUGAAGGAAGUAAAAUAAAGUCAAAUGCUUCAUUUAUCUUUGCUUUUACCAAAUAAUUUAGGUAAACCUUGCAGUCACCCAAAUAAUGGCCCUCCUGGUAAAUACCAAAACAUUCAGAAUUAGGACACCUGAUGGUAAGGUCUAAGAAGAAUCACUUUUAAGAUCUGCCCAUUUGCAUGGGCUGCUAAAGCCUCUAGACCAUAUAAGAAAAAUUUAAUGAAGUGAUACUAGUGUAGACUCUGGGAUAAUAUAGCUUGCAUGUGUUUUUUGUUGUUGUUGUUUUGUUUUGCUUUGAGACAGGGUAUUGCUCUGUCUCCCAGACUGGAGUGCAGUGGUGUGAUCUUGGCUCCUGCAACCUCCGCCUUCUGGGUUCAAGCGAUUCUUGUGCCUCAGCCUCCAGAGUAGCUGGGAUUACAGGCAUGUGCCACCACACCCAGCUAAUUUUUGUAUUUUUAGUAGGGACAGGGUUUCGCCAUGUUGGCCAGGCUGGCCUCAUGUGAUCUGUCUGCCUUGGCCUCCCAAACUGCUGAGAUUAUAGGUGUGAGCCACCGUGCCUUGCCUAACCUGCAUUUGAAUCCUCAUUCCUGUGGUUUAAUGAACUUGGGCAAAUUUUGUAACUUCUUUCAGUCUAAGUU